rnacentral:rRNA from 1 species
UACGGGGGGGGCAAGCGUUGUUCGGAAUUACUGGGCGUAAAGCGUGCGCAGGCGGUUGUGCAAGACAGAUGUGAAAUCCCCGGGCUUAACCUGGGAAUUGCAUUUGUGACUGCACGGCUAGAAUCUGGCAGAGGGGGGUAGAAUUCCACGUGUAGCAGUGAAAUGCGUAGAGAUGUGGAGGAAUACCGAUGGCGAAGGCAGCCCCCUGGGCUAAGAUUGACGCUCAUGCACGAAAGCGUGGGGAGCAAACAGG